ensembl:lncRNA
CCCGGCUUCAAGUCAUCUGAGUUGUCUACAUAAUGUGAAACUCAAUGCAGAUUAAAGGGAUCCUGAACUGUUAGCACUUCAAGGGGAAAAAGAGAAAGGAUGAGAUAGAAGCAAUAUUUGAGAAGAUAGUGUCUGAGGAUUCUCUAGAACUUACGAAAGAUCUCUAGUCAUAGCAAACUCCUUCACCUGCUGACCUUUCUCAGAGCAUCUUCAGGGGCCGUCCAUCCUCACAGGUUGUCGGAGACGUCUUUGGUCCAGGACAAGUCACGAACCACAGAUGCCCAAGCCCCCGGCCCGCGGCUUGCGGGUCCAUGGAUACUUCAAAGCUUCGCGCACCUG